rnacentral:ncRNA from 1 species
AAUGAAGCGAUGACAGGAAUCAGUAGUAGCUUAUCUCCCUGUACCAGAGAGUCGAUGGUUGGUGUGAAUCGACACAAAGAUAAGUGCGAAUUACCUCCUUGAGCUCUCUUUGUGAAACAUAGAGUAGCAAAGAGCGGAUGAACCGUUAACUGAAUGAGCGGAAGAAUAGUAAUAUUCUUCAAUAAGGGUGGUACCGCGUGCAAAAAGCAAUCCACGUCCCUUUU